rnacentral:misc_RNA from 1 species
GAGAAUGAAACAGAAUCAAACAAUUAAGGUGGUAACUUCUUGAAGACUUUGCUAGGAUAUAAAUUCAAAAAGUUUUGCAUUUGCGAGAGAAAAAUGGAGUGUAAUGCUUUCUUGCCAGACUAGCCUACUGUUAUCUAGUGCACUCGCUAGAUGGCCAUUGGUAUGCGAAUUCAUUUUUAAGCUUAUUAUACAGUUUUGAGGUUGACAUACAAGGAUCCUUUUCUUUUAAAAAAA